AAGCUGCUAUUUUUGUUUUUGUCAUGCACUGACAGCACAGGAAAAAUGAAGGAAUAAAAUUGGAAAACAAAUAAAUGCAGCCGGGGACAAAAAAAGAGAAAAUUUUAAAGAAGACAAAAAAAGAGAAAAUUGUAGUAGUUAUAUGUGUUAGCUGGUUACUAUCUACCUUCUUUUCUUGUCUACAUAUAUCUGAAUAGACCUAGUGGGUGAAUCGGCGAGGUUGACGGCCGAACCCACUGGAAACUUUUAGUAGUUCUCACACCACUAACCAUAUAGGUUUUAGUUCGUGCGGGGUGGCCGAGGAUCAUGACAGGGAUAGCUCGCAAUAGAUAGCGACAUCCAUUGAGUAUAGUUAUACCUUGUAUAUUUUAUUUGUUAUAGUUGAUAAAGGAAAAUAUAAAUUAUUUGUUUGAGAGAUGGAAAUGUAAAUGUAUGAAUGUUAUAACAUGCAAGCUUUGUAUUUGAUUUAAAGUAAUCAAGUUACAAUGUAUAAAUGAUUUGGUUAGUUUACUUCACUUGCUUGUGUUGCUUACCUUCGAGUAAGCCAUGUAUACUGAAAAUUUUUCUGGGCAUUUUAUUAUACAUGUUUAGUUGUUGUGCUGAGCCUUAGACGAACAAAGGAGGUUCUGUUUGUUUGGCGUCUGUGUGCGGGCCCGACCCGACCAAAUUGGCGGUCUCGGAACGUGACAGAAUAGUCCACCCAAACU
rnacentral:lncRNA from 1 species